rnacentral:rRNA from 1 species
UUUAACUGAAGAGUUUGAUCAUGGCUCAGAUUGAACGCUGGCGGCAGGCUUAACACAUGCAAGUCGAGCGGGGGAAGGUAGCUUGCUACUGGACCUAGCGGCGGACGGGUGAGUAAUGCUUAGGAAUCUGCCUAUUAGUGGGGGACAACAUCUCGAAAGGGAUGCUAAUACCGCAUACGUCCUACGGGAGAAAGCAGGGGAUCUUCGGACCUUGCGCUAAUAGAUGAGCCUAAGUCGGAUUAGCUAGUUGGUGGGGUAAAGGCCUACCAAGGCGACGAUCUGUAGCGGGUCUGAGAGGAUGAU